rnacentral:lncRNA from 1 species
GGAGGAAGUUUGCGAAGUCUGUGUUUAGAUUUCAUGGCAUGAUUCUGAAUAUGGAUAUAGUCAUUGCCAUAUUUGAGGUGUGUUGGUGGUUACUCGUAAAUUUUCAUGGUUUUGCUUCACUAUGAGCUUAGAAAUAAGAGUUUGGCAUUUCCAGUUUUUUUUCCAGAGUGAAAUUAAUAAACUGUACGAGUAAUGGGAUGAAAGAAUGAGGAAUGGAAGUGUGUAAGAGAGUUAAUUAUACAUUAGCCCUUAAACGGAAACGUGACUCCACCUGGAGUCACUAGUUCGUGGUUUUGAAAAAGCGCGCCAUUUUUUGCGCACACCUGGCUCCAUGGUCUAUGGAUCUGCUGGAGACCUGAGUCGAGGGUCUGUUGGUGAUCAGAUUUAGAGAAGGAAAGACGGACUCCUCGCUGGCGAUGCUCUUGCCUUCCUAAGUAAAGGCUGUGACGCCAGACAAGCACUGCAGAGGCUGCUGCACAAUCAAGGUGCAAUGCAGGGCAUCAUAUUACCAUGCCAACAGAAGAGGACAAAAGAAAUCAGUACCCCCUUAAACAAUAACAGGUCAAGAUAACCAAGGUGUAGGUCAAGGUUACCAUCCUUAUGACUAAAUACUGAUAAUCUACUGGGGACUGCAGGGAGGCAAUACAUUAUCUUCCAUAAGUCCCAGAAUGAGUGAUGGUAUCUUGUAGUGAAAAUCUUUGGGAACAUUUUUGUAUUGUGUUCCUCGUGAUAGAAUAUUUAUCAGAUCUACAAUAGGUGACCUGAGGCAAAGAUCACUCAAUAAAAUUAAUCAGAAUCAGAGUAAGCAAACAAAUAAGAAGGGAAAUAGGUACAGAGAAGAAACAAGACAUUCUGAAGCCUCAAGAUUUUGACAUUAAACUGUAUAUAAAUGUCAAGUUAGGCAGGAUAUUUAAUGGCAAUGCUGAUCCACAAACAUGGAUCUUCACUAUCUACCAAACUGUCAAAUUAUUUACCAUAACUUGCUAAUUAACAAUCAUUUUCUAAUAAAUGUAAUGAGGAAAUAAUCAAA